rnacentral:rRNA from 1 species
UACGGAGGGUGCAAGCGUUGUUCGGAAUCACUGGGCGUAAAGCGCGUGUAGGCGACUAUCUAAGUCUGAUGUGAAAGCCCUGGGCUCAACUCAGGAAGUGCAUUGGAUACUGGAUAGCUGGAGUACCGGAGAGGAGGGUGGAAUUCCUGGUGUAGCGGUGAAAUGCGUAGAUAUCAGGAGGAACACCGGUGGCGAAGGCGGUUCUCUGGGACGGUACUGACGCUGAGACGCGAAAGCGUGGGGAGCGAACAGG